GCAAACUUGGUCAUUUAGAGGAAGUAAAAGUCGUAACAAGGUCUCCGUUGGUGAACCAGCGGAGGGAUCAUUACAGAGUUACUACUCCAAACCCAUUGUGAACCUUACCUAUGUUCUGUUGCCUCGGCGGCGCGGCGAAGCUGCGCGCCCCUCCGAGAGGAGGGCGAGCGACGACCCGCCCGCCGGCAGCACCAAACUCUUGAAAUUUUACAGCGGAUCAAAGCUCUGAUUUGAAACAAAAAAACAAGUUAAAACUUUCAACAACGGAUCUCUUGGUUCUGGCAUCGAUGAAGAACGCAGC
rnacentral:misc_RNA from 1 species